rnacentral:lncRNA from 1 species
AACCACUGAAUCUUUGACUCUUUAUUUAUCUUUAUUCUUUAACUAGACGAAUAGUUUCCUCCUUUGUUCUUGAACGAAACACAUUAAAUCCAACAUCGUUUAUUCUGCCUUAUCUGCAAGAAACUAACGACCUCACUUCCGCUCUUGCGCUUUACACCACAAACCAAAAUAAAAGUCCCCCGUCUGGACUUGUAGCAUGCAAGACAUGUAGGAACUCGCGGUUUAUUUUUUUUUUUAUUUUAAUAAUUGGCGCUGUCUGAUAAUUUUCUGGCAUAAAUUAAGGAAAAGACAGGAGCAGGUCAGCGUUUGAAGGCUUUGCAUCUGAAGCAGGAGUUUGUCUCAAACUGCGCUCCGGAAGCUGCGCGCGUUACCAUGGCGACCGCAGCGCGUCCUGUUUGCGCCACUGUUGUUGUUGUGAUGCGCUCCUGAAGCUUUGUAAGCGUGAGAUGAUCGGACUGCAGCUUUGAGAUCAGACAUGCUGUCCAGCGCGCCGCCCGCCAGCGGCUUCAUCCACAAACCCGUCCUGAGCGAGAGGAGGCUGCAGUCUGAGGCUGUGAGGGCCACCGAUCUCUCUCGAGUGCUUCAGCUGCUGCAGGAUCCGCUCUCAGUAAGACUCCGUGUUUAUGGCAAGCCGCAUUAACAUUUAAAGCUAACACUUUCUAUUUCCAUGCUACCAGUACUUACUCUUUAGCUACUAAUAUCUUUCCCAUUAACUAUUAGUACUUAUUUAUUAGCUACUAGUUCUUAUUAUUUAGCUACUAAUGCUUUUUUAUUAGCUAGGCAUGCUAGUAACUUUUUAGAUACUAAGUUACUAAUGCUUAUUUUAGGUAAGGUAACUUUUAUUUAUUAAUUAGAUACUAGUUCUUAUUUAUUAUAUACUUGUAGUACUAGGGCCCUAUGAUUUCCGUGAUGCAGAAAACGCGGACGGAAUCGCGGAAUUUACCGUUUAACGUGGAAUGUCACAGAAUUUGUCAAAUUUUGAAUGAAUUAAUCAAAAGUAGGUCAUUACACUUAAAUCAACUCACGAUAUGGAGUAGUAUCUGUAACUAUUAAGCCACAAAAGUCUAUUUAAAUAUGAAUCCUGCAUGUUCUGCGUGCCUCUGUUAAUGAAUGGUGCAGACACGCGGAUUAAUUUACCGUACUGCACAUACUGCAGCACGCGUGACGCUCGCUGUGAUUUCAGCGUCUGCUGUCUCACUAAAUGAGGACGUAAACACAUGAACAACAUCUCCAGAACUGCUCUGAGAGUCACUUCAUGAACAUUUGAACGUUUGAUUUUCAUUUUUUUUCUGGUGUGUAAAAAUAAUCAAUACCAUUAUGUUCUUCCACCCUCGGACAUGAAAAACAACCCGCGGCAACAGUGUUAAAGUAGCCCAAUUCUGUGGGAAACCCGAAGAAUUGGCAACACUGGAAGAGGAUAGCUGUCGGAGAGCGCAUCAAGAACCAGGUUGACAGGUACUUGGUACCACCGGUACUUAAGAAAACCUGGUACCGUAAUGUUUUCAUUUUUUUAGUACCAACUUAGUACCGAAAUACUGAGUCUUUUAACAACACUAACCACUAGUAUCUAAUAAUAGGUACAAGCAUCUAAAAAAUAAGUACUAGUACCUAAUGGAUAACUACUAGUAUAUAAGAAAUAGUUACUAGUCACUAUUGGAAUGUUGUACUAGUAUUAAUAAGUACCAAU